rnacentral:rRNA from 1 species
UGAAUUGCAGAAUCCCGUGAACCAUCGAGUCUUUGAAUGCAAGUUGCGCCCAGAGCCUUCGGGCUGAGGGCACGCCUGCCUGGGCGUCACGC